rnacentral:rRNA from 1 species
UACAGAGACUGCAAGCGUUAUUCGGAUUCACUGGGCGUAAAGGGUGCGCAGGCGGCCAUGUGUGUUGGGUGUGAAAGCCCGGAGCUUAACUCCGGAAUUGCGCCCAAAACUACAUGGCUAGAGUAUUGGAGAGGGUAACGGAAUUCAUGGUGUAGCAGUGAAAUGCGUAGAUAUCAUGAGGAACACCAGAGGCGAAGGCGGUUACCUGGACAAUUACUGACGCUCAGGCACGAAAGCGUGGGGAGCAAAAGGG